rnacentral:rRNA from 1 species
GGUGAACGCUGGCGGCGUGCUUAACGCAUGCAAGUCGAGCGAGUGAGUUCUUCGGAACGAUCUAGCGGCGGACGGGUGAGUAACACGUGGGCAACCUGCCUCAUAGAGGGGAAUAGCCUCCCGAAAGGGAGAUUAAUACCGCAUAAAAUUAUCGAGUGGCAUCACAUGAUAAUCAAAGGAGUAAUCCGCUAUGAGAUGGGCCCGCGGCGCAUUAGCUAGUUGGUGAGGUAACGGCUCACCAAGGCGACGAUGCGUAGCCGACCUGAGAGGGUGAUCGGCCACAUUGGGACUGAGACACGGCCCAGACUCCUACGGGAGGCAGCAGUGGGGAAUAUUGCACAAUGGGGGAAACCCUGAUGCAGCAACGCCGCGUGAGUGAUGAAGGUCUUCGGAUUGUAAAGCUCUGUCUUUGGGGACGAUAAUGACGGUACCCAAGGAGGAAGCCACGGCUAACUACGUGCCAGCCGCCGCCGUAA